rnacentral:rRNA from 1 species
CGUGCCUAAUACAUGCAAGUCGAACGGUCUUUCUAUGGAAGCUUGCUUCCACUGAGAAGAUAGUGGCGAACGGGUGAGUAACACGUGGGUAACCUGCCCAUAAGAGGGGGAUAACAUCCGGAAACGGGUGCUAAUACCGCAUAGUUUUCUUGAUCGCAUGAUUGAGAAAGGAAAGACGGCCUUUGUGCUGUCGCUUAUGGAUGGACCCGCGGCGUAUUAGUUAGUUGGUGAGGUAACGGCUCACCAAGACGAUGAUACGUAGCCGACCUGAGAGGGUGAUCGGCCACAUUGGGACUGAGACACGGCCCAAACUCCUACGGGAGGCAGCAGUAGGGAAUCUUCCGCAAUGGACGAAAGUCUGACGGAGCAACGCCGCGUGAGUGAAGGUAAAGGGUUUUCGGAUCGUAAAACUCUGUUGUCAGAGAAGGACAAGUUGGAGAGUAACUGCUCCAGCCUUGACGGUAUCUGACCAGAAAGCCACGGCUAACUACGUGCCAGCCGCAGC